GUGAGGAAUAUUGCGCAAUGGAGGCAACUCUGACGCAGCCAUGCCGCGUGCAGGAAGAAGGCGCUACGCGUUGUAAACUGCUUUUAACCGGGAAGAAACCCCAGGACGUGUCCUGGGUUGACGGUACCGGAGGAAUAAGCACCGGCUAACUUCGUGCCAGCAGCCGCGGUAAUACGAAGGGUGCAAGCGUUAUCCGGAUUCAUUGGGUUUAAAGGGUGCGUAGGCGGAGCGUUAAGUCAGUGGUGAAAUCCUGCAGCUUAACUGUAGACUUGCCAUUGAUACUGGCGCUCUUGAGUGCGCUUGAAGUGGGCGGAAUGUGCCGUGUAGCGGUGAAAUGCUUAGAUAUGGCACAGAACACCAAUUGCGAAGGCAGCUCACUAAGGCGAUACUGACGCUGAGGCACGAAAGCGUGGGGAUCGAACAGGAUUAGAUACCCUGGUAGUCC
rnacentral:rRNA from 1 species